rnacentral:misc_RNA from 1 species
GGAAGUAAAAGUCGAACAAGGUUUCCGUAGGUGAACCUGCGGAAGGAUCAUUAUUGUAUAACCGAGGUGCGAGGGCUGUCGCUGACCCGAAAGGUCGUGCACGCCCGAGUGCCCUCACACACAUCCAUCUCACCCCCUAUGUGCACCACCGCGUGGGUCCCCCUUUGGCUUGUUCGGAGGGGGGCUUACGUUUUCACACAAACUUUGUAUGCAGUGUAGAAUGUAUUUUUUGUUUUUGCGAUCACGCAAUCAAUACAACUUUCAACAACGGAUCUCUUGGCUCU